rnacentral:rRNA from 1 species
AAUCAACGCUGGCGGCGUGCCUCAGACAUGCAAGUCGAACGAUUAAAGCUCUCUUCGGAGAGUGCAUAGAGUGGCGCACGGGUGAGUAACACGUAAGUAAUCUACCUUCGAGUGGGGAAUAACGUCCGGAAACGGACGCUAAUACCGCAUAAUGCAGCGGCAUCGUAAGAUGACAGUUGUUAAAGAUUUAUCGCUUGAAGAGGAGCUUGCGGCAGAUUAGCUAGUUGGUAAGGUAAUGGCUUACCAAGGCUACGAUCUGUAACCGGUCUUAGAGGACGGUCGGUCACACUGACACUGAAUAACGGGUCAGACUCCUACGGAGGCAGCAGUCGGAAUUUUGGGCAAUGGGCGAAAGCCUGACCCAGCAACGCCGCGUGAAGGAUGAAGUAUUUCGGUAUGUAAACUUCGAAAGAAUAGGAAGAAUAAAUGACGGUACUAUUUAUAAGGUCCGGCUAACUACGUGCCAGCGAGCUGCGGUAAU